GACCACUUCUGACCACUGCUUCUGCUACCAUCCACACCCAGUACCACUCACCAUCUUUUCUCACCUAACUUAUUACGAUGGCUUCUAAAGGAAAUCCCUGCUUUUAUUCUAGGCCACCUACAUUCUACCAUCCUUUUCAAACACAAGUCAAGUCAUGUCACCCCUUGGAUAAAUCCCUCCAGUGACUCUCCAUUUCAUUCAAUGUCAAUGCCAAAGUCCUUACCAUGGCUUUCAGGGCCACUAAUGAAAUGCCUGGCCUCCUUCUUUUUCUUCUUCCCUCUCUUUUGCUCAUUGGCCUUAACCACAGUGGUCUUGCUGGACUUUGUACCAGCCAGGCACACUCCUGCCUCAAGGCCUUUGCACUAGCUCUUUGUGCUACAUGGAUGGCUCUUUUCCAGAUCCCACAUAGGUAUGGUGUCCCUAGAUCCUGGUUUGCCUAAGAGUCCCUGAAUUAGUCUGUUUCUGCACUGCUAUAGAGUUACUACCUGAGACUGGGAAAUUUAUAAACAAAGAAGGUUUAAUUGACCCACAGUUCCGCAUGGCUAGGGAGGCCUCAGGAAACUUGCAAUCAUGGCCAUAGGCAAAGAGGAAGCAGGCACCUUCUUUACAAGGUGGCGGGAGAGAGAGUGCACACAGUGGAAACUGUCAUUUUUAAACCAUCAGAUCUCGUGAGAACUCCCUCACCAAUGCAAGAACAGUAGCAUGGGGGAAACCGAGUCCUUUUCCCAAAAGAGAUGAGAGGUGCAGAGAAAACAAAAAGGUACUUCAAUAUUUUAUUAUAUUUUGCAAAUGCCACACAAUGUUAUAGGUUAUUCUAGAGAUUAAUAAACCCCAAUAUAUGGUUUGCUCCUAAAUGGUUAUGAUUUUUUCUAUACAUUGAGUCUCUGAUUCAGCACUUUGAUAAGCUCUCUGCAAUUUUACCACCUAGUAGCCAAUUUACUUUGCUUUAAUAAAACAUAUUACCAAAAUAUUGUACAUCUUUUAGUCAUAGAAACUCUCUCUUUUUUCACUAUGUUAAAUAAUGAUAUACAUUUUCAAUUUAUCUUUGGUGAAUGUUAGAAUAUGACAGCUGUAUUUGUUUUUCAUGAUGUAAAGUGAAUGAUAAUAUCUCACAAGCUGAUUUAUUUCCUUCUUUUCUAUCCACAAUGAUCUCACUAUGCUAUUUCAGCUUAAAAAUAUGGAUAUUGAUACACCAGCUGCUUUAACUCUAGAGAAUAGCUCUUUCCCAUGAACCAACAAUUUUACUUAAAAGAGGAGAGAGACAUAAAAUAAAGAAACAUUUCUCAGGGCCAUCUAAACCAAAUUUUAAAAAAUCCCAAAACCCAUAUAAGCUUUGACAGCAUUGCAAGAUUUCUUUUGUUAGGGUACAAGAUACAGAAAUUCCCAUGAAAAUAACAAAUCAAUUAAAGCAUGUAUUCUCCUAAUUAAAGUUGUCAUUGUUAUUUCCAUGUUAUUAAUAGAAAAAAAAGUCUCAUCCACAUUCCCAAUUAAAUGUGCUGCAUACUUGUGCAAAGCAAGUACUAUAAAUUGAUCUAAAAGGCUGUGGAUGGUAUGCAGCAUACUGUUUUUUGGAUUUUGUUUUGUUUUAUGGGUUUUUUUCACUUUAAAGAAACCUAACAGAUUUUAUCUUUGUUUAGAAAAUCAUGCAUGCAGGGCCUGAAGCAAUGAUUUAUGCUAUGGCAUAAUAUGUUUUUGACACAAAAAGUACUUGUCAAAAAUGCAAGACACAGAGCAACUAUUCUAAGUGUUUUAAGAGGAGAAAGGACUAUCUGGCUUUCAUCAGUCAAUAAUAUAUUUGACAUAAAUAAUGAUUGAAAACUGACAGCUACAAGAUAUGAUGUAGAUGCUUCAAGUUCCUGCAAAUAAAAAGAGGGUGCUUGAUUCUCCAGAGAUUGUCUCCAGCAUCAUCAAGAGUUCGUGUUACAUAAUACUUAAGAGUUCCAUAUGUUGAAGACUUUCUUCUGAUGAGUCAGAUGACCUGGAUUUGAAUUUUUGUUUUACUGUCUAAGCACUGUGCCAGACACUGAGUUCCAAUUUCCUUACCAGUGAACUAGGUACCAUAAUAGCUCUGAGCUCUGCAGUUAUCAGUAUUAUAUUAGAUGCUCUAUAGAAAAUCUUUUAGUACAUUAUUUAUUGCAUUGCAAAGACUUAAUAAAUGUUAGUUGUCCUUAAUUUGCUCAAAAAAUUUUAGGAACUACAGGUCAUUUUUAGCUUAUUAAGAAGUGGAUUUUAACUUCAAGUGUUGUUUACCUAAAUUCAUUAAAAGGUAACCUUCUCUGAUCAAUUUAAGACAAAGUAGAUUUUUUUUAAAGCACCUAAAACCAACAAAAAUAACACUACAUUAUUUUCUCUCC
rnacentral:lncRNA from 1 species